rnacentral:rRNA from 1 species
UAGUCCACGCCGUAAACGAUGUCAACUAGCCGUUGGGAGCAUAUAAGCUCUGAGUGGCGCAGCUAACGCGAUAAGUUGACCGCCUGGGGAGUACGCCGGCAACGGUAAAACUCAAAGGAAUUGACGGGGGCCCGCACAAGCGGUGGAGCAUGUGGUUUAAUUCGAUGCAACGCGAAAAACCUUACCUACCCUUGACAUCCUCAGAACUUGUUAGAGAUAACUUGGUGCCUUCGGGAACUGAGUGACAGGUGCUGCAUGGCUGUCGUCAGCCCGUGCCGUGAGGUGUCAGGUUAAGUCCUAUAACGAGCGCAACCCCUGUUGUUAGUUACCAGCACGUAGUGGUGGGGACUCUAACAAGACUGCCGGUGCAAACCGUGAGGAAGGUGGGGAUGACGUCAAAUCAUCAUGGCCCUUAUGGGUAGGGCUACACACGUGCUACAAUGGUCGGUACAGAGGGUUGCCAACCCGCGAGGGGGAGCUAAUCUCAGAAACCGAUCGUAGUCCGGAUUGGAGU